CCUACGGGAGGCAGCAGUGAGGAAUAUUGGUCAAUGGACGCAAGUCUGAACCAGCCAUGCCGCGUGCAGGAAGAAGGUGCUAUGCAUUGUAAACUGCUUUUAUACGGGGGUAAUUACAGAUACGUGUAUCUGGAUGAAAGUACCGUAUGAAUAAGGAUCGGCUAAUUCCGUGCCAGCAGCCGCGGUAAUACGGAAGGUCCGGGCGUUAUCCGGAUUUAUUGGGUUUAAAGGGAGCGUAGGCCGCAUGUCAAGCGUGCUGUGAAAUGUCCGGGCUCAACCCGGGCCUUGCAGCGCGAACUGGCGUGCUUGAGUCCGCGGAAAGCAGGCGGAAUUCGUCGUGUAGCGGUGAAAUGCUUAGAUAUGACGAAGAACCCCGAUUGCGAAGGCAGCUUGCUGCAGCGGAACUGACGCUGAUGCUCGAAAGCGCGGGUAUCGAACAGGAUUAGAUACCCUUGUAGUC
rnacentral:rRNA from 1 species